rnacentral:tRNA from 2 species
GCUUCAGUAGCUCAGUCGGUAGAGCACACCCUUGGUAAGGGUGAGGUCACGAGUUCAAAUCUCGUCUGAAGCU